CAGUCGUACGCUUCUUUUUCCACCGGAGCUUGCUCCACCGGAAAAAGAAGAGUGGCGAACGGGUGAGUAACACGUGGGUAACCUGCCCAUCAGAAGGGGAUAACACUUGGAAACAGGUGCUAAUACCGUAUAACAAUCGAAACCGCAUGGUUUUGAUUUGAAAGGCGCUUUCGGGUGUCGCUGAUGGAUGGACCCGCGGUGCAUUAGCUAGUUGGUGAGGUAACGGCUCACCAAGGCCACGAUGCAUAGCCGACCUGAGAGGGUGAUCGGCCACAUUGGGACUGAGACACGGCCCAAACUCCUACGGGAGGCAGCAGUAGGGAAUCUUCGGCAAUGGACGAAAGUCUGACCGAGCAACGCCGCGUGAGUGAAGAAGGUUUUCGGAUCGUAAAACUCUGUUGUUAGAGAAGAACAAGGAUGAGAGUAACUGUUCAUCCCUUGACGGUAUCUAACCAGAAAGCCACGGCUAACUACGUGCCAGCAGCCGCGGUAAUACGUAGGUGGCAAGCGUUGUCCGGAUUUAUUGGGCGUAAAGCGGGCGCAGGCGGUUUCUUAAGUCUGAUGUGAAAGCCCCCGGCUCAACCGGGGAGGGUCAUUGGAAACUGGGAGACUUGAGUGCAGAAGAGGAGAGUGGAAUUCCAUGUGUAGCGGUGAAAUGCGUAGAUAUAUGGAGGAACACCAGUGGCGAAGGCGGCUCUCUGGUCUGUAACUGACGCUGAGGCUCGAAAGCGU
rnacentral:rRNA from 1 species